GCGCGAAAACUUCGCAAUGUGCGAAAGCACGACGAGGGGAUCCCGAGUGCUUGCACGUAAGUGCAGGCUGUUUCUCUGUCUAGAAAGCAGAGAGAGUAAGGGCUGGGUAAGACGGGUGCCAGCCGCCGCGGUAAUACCUGCAGCUCGAGUGGUGGCCGCUAUUAUUGGGCCUAAAACGUCCGUAGCCGGUUUAUCAAAUGCCUGGGUAAAUCGGGCCGCUUAACGGUUCGAAUUCCGGGUAGACUGAUAAACUUGAGACCGGGGGAAGUUGGAGGUGCUCCUGGGGUAGGGGUGAAAUCCUGUAAUCCUAGGGGGACCACCGGUGGCGAAGGCGUCCAACUAGAACGGGUCUGACGGUGAGGGACGAAGCCCUGGGGAGCAAACGGGAUUAGAUACCCCGGUAGUCCAGGGUGUAAACGCUGCCUGCUUGAUGUUAGUCUGGCUCCGGGCCAGGCUAGUGUCGGAGAGAAGUUGUUAAGCAGGCUGCCUGGGGAGUACGGUCGCAAGACUGAAACU
rnacentral:rRNA from 1 species